rnacentral:rRNA from 1 species
UACGUAGGGUGCAAGCGUUGUCCGGAAUUAUUGGGCGUAAAGAGCUCGUAGGCGGUCUGUCGCGUCUGCUGUGAAAACUCGGGGCUUAACCCCGGGCCUGCAGUGGGUACGGGCAGACUAGAGUGCGGUAGGGGGAGACUGGAAUUCCCGGUGUAGCGGUGAAAUGCGUAGAUAUCGGAAGGAACACCAGUGGCGAAAGCGGCUUCCUGGUCCGACACCGACGUCAGGCACGAAAGCGUGGGGAGCAAACAGG